AUACGGAGGGUGCGAGCGCUGUUCGGAAUUAUUGGGCGUAAAGAGCAUGUAGGCGGUCUGUUAAGUCUGGUGUGAAAGCCCGGGGCUCAACCCCGGAAGUGCAUUGGAUACUGGCAGACUUGAGUAUGGGAGAGGAAAGCGGAAUUCCGAGUGUAGGAGUGAAAUCCGUAGAUAUUCGGAGGAACACCAGUGGCGAAGGCGGCUUUCUGGACCAAUACUGACGCUGAGAUGCGAAAGCGUGGGGAGCAAACAGGAUUAGAAACCCCGGUAGUCC
rnacentral:rRNA from 1 species